AUAUGCUGCCUGACUCUGAGAACACUGUGAUCAUGGUGGAAAUUGGAGGGUCAGAGCUGGUGUCUAGGGAAAGAGAAAGGAAGGCACUGUGCCCGCCGCUGUCAGUGAAGCCCCAGGUGUGAGAGAGGGUGUGAGGUCAAUCCCAGGCUGGGCCCACAGCCAGGCACGUCCUCGCUAGAGGCCCAGGACCUGCCACCAGCCACAGCUGAAGAGGCUGGGGCGUCAAGGCAGAAAGCCAACAUCCCGGAGUCAUACAAGUGCACGUUCUCUUCCCAGCUCUGGCACAUACCAGCUGUGUGACCUUAGAUCAACGUAGAAGUGUCUUGUAAACUUCGAUGACUCGGUGCUGUGGAAGUAAGGAGACCUCUUUGUCCCCACACUGCCUGACCGCGGCGUGUUGGAGCUGCCUCCUUCUCCAGCCCCAGACAGCCCUCCCAGCUUCCUCUUGAAUCUGCAGCCGGUUACCCCUGGGGAGACCAAGCCUUGCUGGUGGAGGGGAGAUAAACAAGCUCACCAAAUCAUUAUUCUUAAUUUGCAGGAAGGCCAAAGCUCCCUCUGAGCCGAGCUCUAAAGACAUUUUUUACUGUUUAGAAGCCUUUGAUUCCUUUACUUCCCAGCAACUGGCUGAGUUCCCAGGGCUGAAGUUGCCUUGAAGUUUGACUGCUGAAUAAGAAAAAGAGUUUUCCUCUGUUUUGUUGUUAAUCCAGAGUUUGAGCUGGGAGCAUAAAGAUUUCAAACAUACCAAAUAGGAUUUCUUCAACUAGAUUGUUUUGGAAAAUACAAAUAUGAGAUCUGAGAAGGACAGAUACAAAAGAAAAAGAAGUCUCAGUUCCAGGCUAAGGUGGACGGAAAGGGGGUGCCCUAAGGAGGCUCGAACCUGAGACAGUCUGAACCAGAAAAACCUCCCCUAGAGUUUGGGGGCUGGCGUGCAGCUGCUCACAUUUUUAUCUUGCUAAAUUAAGAAUAUAAAAUAAGAACCACUGGAUAAGAUCACCCUUAUUUUAGAAAAGAGAGGGGAAAAGUCAACCAAAAAAGCUGUUUUUUUUUUAAAUUAAAGGGAUUUAACUUUAUGAAAAA